UAGAAAGAAGCUCGCUGGAUAGAGUUUUUAGCUGUUAACUAAAGUUUUGCGGGAUCGAGGCCCGCCUUUCUAG
rnacentral:tRNA from 1 species